rnacentral:rRNA from 1 species
CAGGCCUAACACAUGCAAGUCGAGCGAGGUCUUCGGACCUAGCGGCGGACGGGUGAGUAACGCGUGGGAACGUGCCCUUCCCUGCCGGAUAGUCCCUGGAAACGGGGUUUAAUACGGCAUACGCCCUUCGGGGGAAAGAAUUUCGGGGAAGGAUCGGCCCGCGUCUGAUUAGGUAGUUGGUGGGGUAAUGGCCUACCAAGCCGACGAUCAGUAGCUGGUUUUAGAGGAUGAUCAGCCACACUGGGACUGAGACACGGCCCAGACUCCUACGGGAGGCAGCAGUGGGGAAUCUUAGACAAUGGGCGCAAGCCUGAUCUAGCCAUGCCGCGUGUGUGAUGAAGGCCUUAGGGUCGUAAAGCACUUUCGCCAGGGAUGAUAAUGACAGUACCUGGUAAAGAAACCCCGGCUAACUCCGUGCCAGCAGCCGCGGUAAUACGGAGGGGGUUAGCGUUGUUCGGAAUUACUGGGCGUAAAGCGCGCGUAGGCGGACUGGAAAGUUGGGGGUGAAAUCUCGGGGCUCAACCUCGGAACUGCCUUCAAAACUAUCAGUCUAGAGUUCGAGAGAGGUGAGUGGAACUCCGAGUGUAGAGGUGAAAUUCGUAGAUAUUCGGAAGAACACCAGUGGCGAAGGCGGCUCACUGGCUCGAUA